GAGAGAGCUGAUGGUUAUGUCCUGUGUUGGUUGUUGAUCAGAGACAGGUUUUUGUGAAGUAUUUUGUAGCCGUUGCUUCUGAGGGGAAGGGACCUUUGGAGUGCUUAGGCAACAUAUACCCGUAGUAUGUACUCUGUCUAUGCACACAAGGUAAGACCUGGGCGGACCACCCCCUGUAUUUUGGAUAUUGCGCCAGCUGGUGCUAGUUAGGUCUAUAACAGUUUGGGUCUGUGUGAUGGACAAAAGACUUGAAAGAGACGCACCUGGGAUAGUGUACAUACUGUACAUGCAUACACACACACACACACACACCAACCUCAGUACAGACUUAAAACAGAUGCUUAGGAUGGACAAAAGACUUGCAUGCACGAACACACACACACACACACACACACACACAUACACUCAAAGAUGCCUGCUUAUCUUGAGAGAUCGGAACAUGAGAGAACGAGUGCCAGAGAGCGACGGAGUGAGGGAGACAGAGAGAGUGAGAGCUUAAAGAGAGAGGGAGGAACUGUGACUGGUAGAAACAUCAUGGGCCUACAUGUCUAUGGUCCCCACUGCCAACCUGCAGCACUAAACAGCAGAUCCUCUCAAGCUCUUUCAGGUCUCUCCAGGGAUGUUCGAUCGUGUUCAAGUCCAUGCUCUGUUUGGGCCACUCAAGGACAUUUAGAGACUUGUCCCGAAGCCUGUGUGCUUGGGGUCGUUAUUAGGGUCGUUAUCCUGUUAGAACGUGAACCUUUGCUCUAGAGCAGGUUUUUAUUAAGUAUCUCUGUCUUUUGCUCCUUUCAUCUUUGCCUUGAUCCUGACUAGUCUCCCAAUCCCUGCCACUGAAGAAUAUCCCACAGCAUGAUGCUGCCACCACCAUGCUUCACCGUAGGGAUGGUGCCAGGUUUCCUCCAGAUGUGACGCUUUGGCAUUCAGGUCAAGGAGUUCAAUCUUGGUUUCAUCAUACCAGAGAAUCUUGUUUCUCAUGGUCUGAGAGUGUUUGUGCCUUUUGGCAAACUGAUGGAGGCCACUGUGUUCUUGAGGACCUUCAAUGCUGCAAAAAUGUUUUGCUACCCUUCCCCAGAUCUGUGCCUCGACACAAUCCUGUCUCAGGCCCUACGGACAAUUCUUUCAAACUCAUGGCUUGGUUUUUGCUCUGACAUGCACUGUCAACUGUGGGACAUGACAUAUCAAUUGAAUUUACCACAGGUAGACUCCAAUCAAAUUGUAGAACCAUCUCAAGAAUGAUCAAUGGAAACAGGAUGCACCUGAUCUCAAUUUCGAAGGGGCUGAAUACUUAUGUAAAUAAGGUAUUUCUGUUUUUGUUUAUUUUUAACACAUUUGCAAACAUUUCUAGAAACCUGUUUUCGCUUUGUCAUUAUGGGGUAUUGUGUAUAGAUUGCUGAGGAUUUUUUUUUUCAUUUAAUCAAUUUAAGAAUACGUCUGUAACGUAACAAAAUGUGAAUAAAGUCAAGGUGUCUAAAUGCUU